GAACUGAAGAGUUUGAUCAUGGCUCAGAUUGAACGCUGGCGGCAGGCCUAACACAUGCAAGUCGAGCGGAUGAAGGGAGCUUGCUCCUGGAUUCAGCGGCGGACGGGUGAGUAAUGCCUAGGAAUCUGCCUGGUAGUGGGGGAUAACGUCC
rnacentral:rRNA from 1 species